GGUCAAGCUAAUAAGAGCGCAGGGUGGAUGCCUUGGCACUAAGAGCCGAUGAAAGACGUGAUAAGCUGCGAUAAGCCACGGAGAGGAGCAAAUAUCCUUUGACCCGUGGAUUUCUGAAUGGGGAAACCCAGCUGAGCAUACCUCAGUUACUGUAUGGUGAAUCCAUAGCCAUGCAGAGGGAACCCGGGGAACUGAAACAUCUAAGUACCCGGAGGAAAAGAAAGAAAACUCGAUUUCCUGAGUAGUGGCGAGCGAAAGGGAAAGAGCCUAAACCGAAGGAUUUAUCCUUCGGGGUUAUGGACCACGUUAAGUGAGUCGUAUGGUAAUAGAACGGUUUUGGGAAAGCCGGCCAGAGAGAGUGAAAGCCUCGUAUAUGAAACCAGAAGACAGCGAGUGGGAUCCAAAGUACCGCGAGACACGAGAAACCUUGCGGGAAGUCGGGGGGACCACCCCCCAAGGCUAAAUACUACUUAGUGACCGAUAGUGCAUAGUACUGUGAAGGAAAGGUG
rnacentral:rRNA from 1 species